AACGUAGGGGACAAGCGUUAUCCGGAUUUACUGGGCGUAAAGCGCCCGUAGGCGGCCUGACAAGUUGGACGUGAAAGCUCCUGGCUUAACUGGGAGAGGCCGUUCAAAACUGUCAAGCUAGAGUCUGGAAGAGGAGAGCGGAAUUCCCGGUGUAGUGGUGGAAUGCGUAGAGAUCGGGAGGAACACCAGUGGCGAAGGCGGCGAUCUGGGAAGAUACUGACGCUGAGGUGCGAAAGCGUGGGGAGCAAACAGG
rnacentral:rRNA from 1 species